GAUGAACGCUGGCGGCGUGCCUAAUACAUGCAAGUCGAGCGAAUGGAUUAAGAGCUUGCUCUUAUGAAGUUAGCGGCGGACGGGUGAGUAACACGUGGGUAACCUGCCCAUAAGACUGGGAUAACUCCGGGAAACCGGGGCUAAUACCGGAUAACAUUUUGAACCGCAUGGUUCGAAAUUGAAAGGCGGCUUCGGCUGUCACUUAUGGAUGGACCCGGGUCGCAUUAGCUAGUUGGUGAGGUAACGGCCAACCAAGGCAACGAUGCGUAGCCGACCUGAGAGGGUGAUCGGCCACGCUGGGACUGAGACACGGCCCAGACUCCUACGGGAGGCAGCAGUAGGGAAUCUUCCGCAAUGGACGAAAGUCUGACGGAGCAACGCCGCGUGAGUGAUGAAGGCUUUCGGGUCGUAAAACUCUGUUGUUAGGGAAGAACAAGUGCUAGUUGAAUAGGCUGGCACCUUGACGGUACCUAACCAGAAAGCCACGGCUAACUACGUGCCAGCAGCCGCAGUAA
rnacentral:rRNA from 1 species